rnacentral:rRNA from 1 species
UACGGAGGGUGCAAGCGUUAUCCGGAUUUACUGGGCGUAAAGGGCGCGUAGGCGGCGCGGUAAGUCACUUGUGAAAUCUCUGAGCUUAACUCAGAACGGCCAAGUGAUACUGCAGUGCUAGAGUGUGGAAGGGGCAAUCGGAAUUCUUGGUGUAGCGGUGAAAUGCGUAGAUAUCAAGAGGAACACCUGAGGUGAAGACGGGUUGCUGGGCCAACACUGACGCUGAGGCGCGAAAGCCAGGGGAGCAAACGGG